CGCUGGCGGCAUGCUUACACAUGCAAGUCGGACGGCAGCACAGAGAAGCUUGCUUCUUGGGUGGCGAGUGGCGAACGGGUGAGUAACAUAUCGGAACGUACCGAGCAGUGGGGGAUAACUAAUCGAAAGAUUAGCUAAUACCGCAUAUAUUCUGAGGAAGAAAGCAGGGGACCAUUUGGCCUUGCGCUGUUUGAGCGGCCGAUAUCUGAUUAGCUAGUUGGUGGGGUAAAGGCCUACCAAGGCGACGAUCGGUAGCGGGUCUGAGAGGAUGAUCCGCCACACUGGGACUGAGACACGGCCCAGACUCCUACGGGAGGCAGCAGUGGGGAAUUUUGGACAAUGGGCGCAAGCCUGAUCCAGCCAUGCCGCGUGUCUGAAGAAGGCCUUCGGGUUGUAAAGGACUUUUGUCAGGGAAGAAAAGGGCGGGGUUAAUACCCCUGUCUGAUGACGGUACCUGAAGAAUAAGCACCGGCUAACUACGUGCCAGCAGCCGCGGUAAUACGUAGGGUGCGAGCGUUAAUCGGAAUUACUGGGCGUAAAGCGGGCGCAGACGGUUACUUAAGCAGGAUGUGAAAUCCCCGGGCUCAACCUGGGAACUGCGUUCUGAACUGGGUGACUAGAGUGUGUCAGAGGGAGGUAGAAUUCCACGUGUAGCAGUGAAAUGCGUAGAGAUGUGGAGGAAUACCGAUGGCGAAGGCAGCCUCCUGGGAUAACACUGACGUUCAUGCCCGAAAGCGCGGGUAGCAAACAGGAUUAGAUACCCUGGUAGUCCACGCCCUAAACGAUGUCGAUUAGCUGUUGGGCAGCAUGACUGCUUAGUAGCGAAGCUAACGCGUGAAAUCGACCGCC
rnacentral:rRNA from 1 species